CCAGUGCCUCACUCAUGCCAGGCAAAUGUGCUACCACUAAGCCACAGCCAUAGCACUGGACAUAGGUCUUUAAUGCUCUAAAUUUGUGUGGUCCCAUACAGAAAGUAGAUUACCCAUUCUUCCUAGAAAAAUGCUAUGGGCAAUUAUGAAAAAAAUGAUGAAAUCCAGGGUGAUGUCAGAAAUAUAUGAUAACCUGGCAUGAUUUUUUUCCCAUUAGUUCAGUGAUAACAACUGGGAAAGGACACUAACCAAAAAUGUUUUGAAUUUCUGGACUUAAUUUUGAUGCAGAUGGAGUGGUGGGCAAUUGAGUAAUGAAAUAAAGACUGAAGUGUACAUGCUUUAUACCUCUACCAGAUUUAAGCACACCUGUGCAUGACUAAUAACCCAGAAAAGAAAAAGGUUAGAAAAUGAUCAUCCUGGUUUUUCUGUUUUAUUUCAAUGAAAUGUAGAAAUGAGACUUGCAAAAAGAUGCAGUAGAUAUAUGUUUCCAUAUUCUUCCCACUAAGCAAAACUAAAAAAUUAUAGAUAUUUUAUAUUAAAAAAAGGAGAUGGUAACUUUGAAAGCUAGAGAGGAGAAUGCAGUCCUAUACCCUCAGGACCUAAGGAAUGACAUGAUGUUGUAUUAAUUGGUUUUUUGUUUUACCUAAUUUAUGCUACAUUUGUAAUUGAAUAACCAGAAAGAAAUCUGGAAAUUUUGAUAGGUUUGGAUUUGUUAAACACUCUAUGGGAGUGAUAUCAGCAACGUAACAGACUAGAAAUUUUCAGACCCUGCUUACUCACAGAGACACUGCAUUAACAGUGAUAUAUGGACCAGCAUACCUUUGUAAGAACUCUGGACACUAAAAACUACAGCAGUCUUACCCAUGUAAAUGCCAAAAAGGAUUCCAGUGAAAGGAAAUUUUCUGUGACCACCCAUGCCUCACUCCCUAUAAUGUGCAAUCAGAAGGAACAGCCCCUCAUAAAGAAGCUCCUCCUCUGGGUUGGAAACAAAAUAAUAGAUCAUCUGUCCAACAUUCUUGCAUGUCGAGAGGGAAUGGUUUCAGUUUUGUCUGACUUGGAGGACUGGUGGCAUAAUUUAGAAGCCACUAGAAACAGGCAAGCAUAAAGUGUUUCAGAACUGAAGUUCCAUAGGCAGUCACUGGGGGAAACAAAAUUUGGAGAAGAUCCUAAAAACUCUAGCUAGGCUGAUUGCUGAAAGUUUUACUACACAUGAAGUGAAAAUGUGUUUUGGGGAGAGGAGGUUAAUUUUAAAUACCCAAAUCUCAGUAUAAGUUUAUAAGACCCACAAAGAAACAGAGAAGGAAGCAUGGUCCAAUCAAAGGACAGUAUUAAAC
rnacentral:lncRNA from 1 species